AUGCUUCCUCCCCAGUGGCAUUCCCCUCUUUCCUCUACCAAGAGACCUAUUGGGUCAUACUCAAAGAACACAGCAAUAUGCAAGUAUCCUGAAACAGUUUGCUCCAGCAGUUMCAUAGAAGGCUGUCCAGGUAAGUAUUAUAAUCAGCUGUACAGACACUGGGUUACUCUGCAGAAAGCACCACACGAGAGCAGAUCCUCCCUGUCACCUCUGGGGCUGCGCUGCCACCGACAGUGCAGUUAUUCACUCAUCCGAAUGGCUCCGUCUGCCUGGCAGAUGCAAGGCAGCGAGAGCUGCGAGGUGUCUCCUUCUUGGGACCAAAAAUAUAGUUUUAAGCCCUUCCAAGACAAAUGUGUUGAUAGGGGCAGUCAAACACAGCACAAACGUCGUUUCAGUAUAUCAGCCGUUAGGCGUAUACACAAAAUUCUUCCUUCAAGGUUUUAUGCCAGCCUUGGACUAACGCGUACCGCUCUGAAUCAGCUGUGUUUGUCCUCUGCCUGCCCCCGGUGGGGUGGUGGCCUCUGCUGCUGCUCUCCGCUUCCCGGAGCUCGCCAGAGCGCUCUCACCGCUCCCAGGGUCAGGCAGGGUUUUUUUGCUUCUCAAUGCAGGAAUUAUACACCGUGAUUGCCAUGAAAUCAUCCUCAAAAAAACAACACAAAAAGAGGAGUAAUGCAUGGAGCAGAGAUCAGACUCUUGCCCUUCCUCGGUUUCGUGUUUCAGAACAUCAGAUCAGUGAGCCUGGGCAUCUCUGUAUAACAUCAGCGACCACAUAAACACACUCAUCCUAAAGGUGCACCACUCUCAAAAUCUUGCAUGCACCCUUUUAGGUCACCCUACGUUAUUUGGCCCAUUUGGGGAGGGAGCAUCUCGGGUCAACCCGAAAGCCUUUAGUUUUUCUUAACCCUCCCUCCAUUUUGAACACUGUCAUCAGAGCUAUGAAGGAUUUGGUGAUUCCCCUGGGACAGAUUAUACCGUGGAGCCAGCUCUGUUUUUUGGGACACCUGUUGAACCCUACCAGAGACAUUUCACUUGAGUUCAGGAUUUGGUUUAUGCAUUUUCUUUUGCAGAUUUGCUGUUCUUUUCAGCAGAGGGCACUGUAGGUAUGUAUACACCUAUUUUUCCACUGUGUACAUCCAUAGGAACAAAUGUUGAAGAGGUGGGCAGCACUAUAGUUAAGACAGGUGAGGAUUCUGGAGAAUGGAGGCUCUUAAAUGCAUAGACAAAUUUUUGCUCACAAUAUGAGAGAGGCUCACACUAAAAAGCAAGGGGUGUUGCAGGUGUGUGGUUAAGAUUUUGAUUCUGAAUGUAGUUCUGUACCUAGGACUUAACACCUUAGAACAUGGAAUGAAUAGUACAUAUUGUAACUCCUAAUUUUCUUGCUUUUGUUCAUUAGUAUCUCACUUUUUCAUAAUAAUCUCAUAAUAUUAACAUUUUUGUAACUUUAAAUAUGUAUUUCUUACUGUUUGUGCUACUGUUGUUUUCUGUCAAGUCCUUACACUCUAACCAGACACUGUUAUAUACAGCUACAAACACAUAUAAUAGGAAUACAGUAAAGGACAAAGAGGAUGAAUGAAAAGCAAAAGCAUGAAGCAGGCAGGAAAGCGUGGUGACAGCAUUAGGAAAACAGACAAGACAAAAUGUGCUGAGCCUUCUGUUACACAGCCGUGAGCAUGGCAUUGCCAUUGUGAGCGCAAUAAUGAAUACAAAACAACUCCRAAACGGGUCACAGAUACAUGCUGAAAUUUCAUGAACUCUAACUGCACACAAAGACUUGAACAAACAGACAGCCAUUAUCUGAAAUAAUUUCAUAAUACCCAUUCCAGUUUUCCCAUUUUUUGCAAUCAUCCAGACUAUAGGAAAUGUGAGCACUUCUUUUCUUUCUCUCUCCUGACUCUCUUGUUCUACGUCUGCACCUUCUCCUUCUCCCAGGAUUUCAGUAGGACAAUGUUGCAUUUUCACUUCUUCCUGGGCUUCUUUAAACAUUCACACUUCCAGCAACACUGAAAGAUUUCCAUGUAGGUUUCCUGCAACUCCACUAUAUUUAAACUGUCAGUUUUUCCUACCUAGUUUCAAGAUCCACACAAACCAAUAGGAACUACCCCAGCUCUGUACAUCAGCUGGGGAUCUCCUCCAAUGACGACUAUAUUUAGCUGUGAAGGUCCUUAUGCUGCAAGUAGUGGUGGAAGAUAGCCUGUAAAAUACAUAUCCACUUCAGCAAUUAGGCUGCCACUUUACAACUACCUCUAUAUUCUGUAUGAAAUACUAUGCAUAAGCAAAUUAGCCUUUUUUUUCUGGCAUGAAAAGGCAAAUUCAUAAUGGUAACAGCAUCAGAAAGACAUUGGUACUGUUGGUAGUAUUGCUGCAUUAGAAAAAAUGAGUCCACGCAGUACUUGUAUGAUCUCUUUGCAUGCUGGGUUGGUACUAGAGAAGACAGCAAAUCCCCAGUCUGGGCUUCAUGUGUGAAUAUAAUGAAAAUCUGCACCAGUUGCAAAAUGUCCAGACUUCAUAUCCCCAUUAAUAGUAAAGCUGGAGCUUCUAGAACCUGAAGAGUUUUGCAAGAUGUAAUAAACCAUCAUUUUACAUCUUGCCA
rnacentral:lncRNA from 1 species